AUAUCUACAUAUGUAGAUUAGAAACUUUCGGUCGGGUUCAGUUUAAUUUUGAUCGGGUUAGUUAAUACAUUGUUGAGUCUUUUGAUCAGCAUGGACAUGGUUUGAUGUGUGUUCGGUACCACAUAACAUGCGAGAAUACCUUCUCCGGUAUGUUGGAGAGAAGAUUAGCAAGAAAAAAUCGCGUGAGAAAAUGAGAAGUUGACAGAAAAAGAUUUUUUUCAUUAUCGAAAGGGACAUGUACAACAUCCAUAAUGGUGUGUCUGAUGGAAUUUGUCAUUUCAUUAAUAAAUAAUGCUGAUAAAGAUGCAAACUUAGCAAUUGUGCCUAAAAAGUGACAGAUUUGACAAGGAAAUAUAUCCAUAUAUAACAGUUACUGGUACUGUCUGAAUGCAGUGAAAGGAUCCAGAUGAACAGAUGAAGAGAUUAAGUACAAUGUACAUCAAUUACUUGGAUGAAGAGAAUCUGCAACAUGGGGAAAUAAUGUUCCUAUAGAAAAGUCAAAGAAUGUAUACAUGUGAGAUUCUGAAGUAGCCGUACAUGAUGAGUAGGAAUUUGAAGUGAAUUAUG